rnacentral:rRNA from 1 species
UACGUAGGGACCAAGCGUUGUUCGGAUUUACUGGGCGUAAAGGGCGCGUAGGCGGCUUGACAAGUCACUUGUGAAAUCUCCGGGACUUAACUCGGAACGGCCAAGUGAAACUGUCGAGCUAGAGUGUAGAAGGGGCAAUCGGAAUUCUUGGUGUAGCGGUGAAAUGCGUAGAUAUCAAGAGGAACACCUGAGGUGAAGACGGGUUGCUGGUCUAACACUGACGCUGAGGCGCGAAAGCCAGGGGAGCAAACGGG